GGCGCUGGUGGUGUAGGGGUUGAGCGCGCGACCGUGUGCGGAGGCUGCUGUCCUCGAGGCGGCCGUCCCGGGUUCGAGUCCCGGGCCAGGCGACA